UCAAGAUAAGCGUAGCAGAAAUCUAAUC
rnacentral:sRNA from 1 species